GGUUAAGCGACUAAGCGUACACGGUGGAUGCCCUGGCAGUCAGAGGCGAUGAAGGGCGUGCUAAUCUGCGAUAAGCGCCGGUAAGGUGAUAUGAACCGUUAUAACCGGCGAUACCCGAAUGGGGAAACCCAGUGUGACUCGUCACACUAUCAUUAACUGAAUCCAUAGGUUAAUGAGGCGAACCGGGGGAACUGAAACAUCUAAGUACCCCGAGGAAAAGAAAUCAACCGAGAUUCCCCCAGUAGCGGCGAGCGAACGGGGAGGAGCCCAGAGCCUGAAUCAGCAUGUGUGUUAGUGGAAGCGUCUGGAAAGGCGCGCGAUACAGGGUGACAGCCCCGUACACAAAAGCGCAUGUGCUGUGAGCUCGAUGAGUAGGGCGGGACACGUGGUAUCCUGUCUGAAUAUGGGGGGACCAUCCUCCAAGGCUAAAUACUCCUGACUGACCGAUAGUGAACCAGUACCGUGAGGGAAAGGCGAAAAGAACCCCGGCGAGGGGAGUGAAAAAGAACCUGAAACCGUGUACGUACAAGCAGUGGGAGCACAGGUUUACCUGUGUGACUGCGUACCUUUUGUAUAAUGGGUCAGCGACUUAUAUUCUGUAGCAAGGUUAACCGAAUAGGGGAGCCGGAGGGAAACCGAGUCUUAACUGGGCGUUAAGUUGCAGGGUAUAGACCCGAAACCCGGUGAUCUAGCCAUGGGCAGGUUGAAGGUUGGGUAACACUAACUGGAGGACCGAACCGACUAAUGUUGAAAAAUUAGCGGAUGACCUGUGGCUGGGGGUGAAAGGCCAAUCAAACCGGGAGAUAGCUGGUUCUCCCCGAAAGCUAUUUAGGUAGCGCCUCGUGAACUCAUCUCCGGGGGUAGAGCACUGUUUCGGCUAGGGGGCCAUCCCGGCUUACCAACCCGAUGCAAACUGCGAAUACCGGAGAAUGUUAUCACGGGAGACACACGGCGGGUGCUAACGUCCGUCGUGAAGAGGGAAACAACCCAGACCGCCAGCUAAGGUCCCAAAGUCAUGGUUAAGUGGGAAACGAUGUGGGAAGGCCCAGACAGCCAGGAUGUUGGCUUAGAAGCAGCCAUCAUUUAAAGAAAGCGUAAUAGCUCACUGGUCGAGUCGGCCUGCGCGGAAGAUGUAACGGGGCUAAACCAUGCACCGAAGCUGCGGCAGCGACACUGUGUGUUGUUGGGUAGGGGAGCGUUCUGUAAGCCUGCGAAGGUGGCCUGUGAGGGUUGCUGGAGGUAUCAGAAGUGCGAAUGCUGACAUAAGUAACGAUAAAGCGGGUGAAAAGCCCGCUCGCCGGAAGACCAAGGGUUCCUGUCCAACGUUAAUCGGGGCAGGGUGAGUCGACCCCUAAGGCGAGGCCGAAAGGCGUAGUCGAUGGGAAACGGGUUAAUAUUCCCGUACUUGGUGUUACUGCGAAGGGGGACGGAGAAGGCUAUGUUGGCCGGGCGACGGUUGUCCCGGUUUAAGCGUGUAGGUGUGUGUUCCAGGUAAAUCCGGUUCACUUUAACACUGAGGCGUGACGACGAGGCACUACGGUGCUGAAGCAACAAAUGCCCUGCUUCCAGGAAAAGCCUCUAAGCAUCAGGUAACAUCAAAUCGUACCCCAAACCGACACAGGUGGUCAGGUAGAGAAUACCAAGGCGCUUGAGAGAACUCGGGUGAAGGAACUAGGCAAAAUGGUGCCGUAACUUCGGGAGAAGGCACGCUGACACGUAGGUGAAGUGAUUUACUCAUGGAGCUGAAGUCAGUCGAAGAUACCAGCUGGCUGCAACUGUUUAUUAAAAACACAGCACUGUGCAAACACGAAAGUGGACGUAUACGGUGUGACGCCUGCCCGGUGCCGGAAGGUUAAUUGAUGGGGUCAGCGCAAGCGAAGCUCCUGAUCGAAGCCCCGGUAAACGGCGGCCGUAACUAUAACGGUCCUAAGGUAGCGAAAUUCCUUGUCGGGUAAGUUCCGACCUGCACGAAUGGCGUAAUGAUGGCCAGGCUGUCUCCACCCGAGACUCAGUGAAAUUGAACUCGCUGUGAAGAUGCAGUGUACCCGCGGCAAGACGGAAAGACCCCGUGAACCUUUACUAUAGCUUGACACUGAACAUUGAGCCUUGAUGUGUAGGAUAGGUGGGAGGCUUUGAAGUGUGGACGCCAGUCUGCAUGGAGCCGACCUUGAAAUACCACCCUUUAAUGUUUGAUGUUCUAACGUGGACCCGUUACCCGGGUUGCGGACAGUGUCUGGUGGGUAGUUUGACUGGGGCGGUCUCCUCCUAAAGAGUAACGGAGGAGCACGAAGGUUGGCUAAUCCUGGUCGGACAUCAGGAGGUUAGUGCAAUGGCAUAAGCCAGCUUGACUGCGAGCGUGACGGCGCGAGCAGGUGCGAAAGCAGGUCAUAGUGAUCCGGUGGUUCUGAAUGGAAGGGCCAUCGCUCAACGGAUAAAAGGUACUCCGGGGAUAACAGGCUGAUACCGCCCAAGAGUUCAUAUCGACGGCGGUGUUUGGCACCUCGAUGUCGGCUCAUCACAUCCUGGGGCUGAAGUAGGUCCCAAGGGUAUGGCUGUUCGCCAUUUAAAGUGGUACGCGAGCUGGGUUUAGAACGUCGUGAGACAGUUCGGUCCCUAUCUGCCGUGGGCGCUGGAGAACUGAGGGGGCUGCUCCUAGUACGAGAGGACCGGAGUGGACGCAUCACUGGUGUUCGGGUUGUCAUGCCAAUGGCACUGCCCGGUAGCUAAAUGCGGAAGAGAUAAGUGCUGAAAGCAUCUAAGCACGAAACUUGCCCCGAGAUGAGUUCUCCCUGAGACUUAGAGUCUCCUGAAGGAACGUUGAAGACGACGACGUUGAUAGGCCGGGUGUGUAAGCGCAGCGAUGCGUUGAGCUAACCGGUACUAAUGAACCGUGAGGCUUAACCUU
rnacentral:rRNA from 1 species